ACGGCGAGUGAAGCGGCAAAAGCUCAAAUUUUAAAGCUGACAUCUUCGGUGUCCGCGUUGUAAUUUUGUGAGGCAUCUCCGGGUAGGGCGCUGGCCUAAGUUCCUUGGAACAGGACGUCACAGAGGGUGAGAAUCCCGUGCUUGGCUGGCUGUCCCCGUCCAUGUGAGGUGUCUUCGACGAGUCGAGUUGUUUGGGAAUGCAGCUCAAAAUGGGUGGUAAAUUUCAUCUAAAGCUAAAUAUUGGUGGGAGACCGAUAGCGCACAAGUAGAGUGAUCGAAAGAUGAAAAGCACUUUGAAAAUAGAGUUAAAAAGUACGUGAAAUUGUUGAAAGGGAAGCGCUUGAGACCAGACUUCGGUAAGGGGUGAUCAGCCGUCCUUUUGGGCGGUGCACUUGCCCCCCUCCGGGCCAGCAUCGGUUGAGGCGGCGGGAUAAAGGUCCCGGGAAUGUGGCUCCUUCACGGGAGUGUUAUAGCCCGGGUGAAUGCCGCCAGCUUCGACCGAGGACCGCACCCGCAAGGGUUAGGAUGCUUG
rnacentral:rRNA from 1 species